CGGACGCGCUUUUAUCUUUACUCUUCCAGCGUAUCAACAUUUUGUGAUAGUGUCCAGUCCUUUUCGAGGAAUUCUGCUGAUCUACAGCUGAGAGUUCGGGGGCCAUCAUCUUAAAGGUCGGAAUGGUAAAUCGUUUUUGAAUAGUAAUUGCACUAAAAUAACUAAAAUUAUGCAAGCUACGAAGUUUGAGCUGAAAAGUGUACAAUGGCUGCACUAUCAAGUUGUCCAAGCGAUACAACACGCGCCGCGUGUUUCUCUGGCGAAACGCAACGAGGGGCGCUGCCGCAUGACGCGUAAAGCGCUGGUGUAUAUUAUAGUACCAAAUAUUGUAUUAACUAUGCUAAUAUACGCAUUAUUAUGCACUUGUUUUGUUGUCGCAAGAACGCAACGCACAAGAAUAUA